AUUGAACGCUGGCGGCAUGCCUUACACAUGCAAGUCGAACGGCAGCACGGGAGCAAUCCUGGUGGCGAGUGGCGAACGGGUGAGUAAUAUAUCGGAACGUGCCCAGUCGUGGGGAUAACGUAGCGAAAGCUACGCUAAUACCGCAUACGAUCUAUGGAUGAAAGCGGGGGAUCGCAAGACCUCGCGCGAUUGGAGCGGCCGAUAUCAGAUUAGGUAGUUGGUGAGGUAAAGGCUCGCCAAGCCGACGAUCUGUAGCUGGUCUGAGAGGACGACCAGCCACACUGGGACUGAGACACGGCCCAGACUCCUACGGGAGGCAGCAGUGGGGAAUUUUUGGACAAUGGGCGCAAGCCUGAUCCAGCAAUGCCGCGUG
rnacentral:rRNA from 1 species